AUUAAUUGCAUUCUUGCCUGAAGGGGAAUACUGACUUUCAAGAUGGUAUCUUAAGUCUGGGGAGCUGUUUCCUUGCCUAAGAAAGGACCUGAUAAGCAUUGUCUGUUUUGGAGAGGUCAGUGACUAGGGCCUUGCCUUCUUGCUCCCAUCAGAACCCUCCUGGCAUCAUGAGCAUCCUGGAUGACGUGUGCGCCACGAUGCAUGCGGUGGGUGAGGGGGCAGAUCAGACACUGCUCCAGAAACUUCAGAUGCAGAUUGGGAGUCAUGAGCACUUCAACAGUUGGAACCAAGGCUUCAUCAUUCAUCAUUAUGCAGGGAAGGUAUCCUAUGACAUGGAUGGCUUUUGUGAAAGGAACCGGGAUGUGCUUUUUAUGGAUCUCAUCGAGCUUAUGCAGAGCAGCGAGCUGCCUUUCAUAAAGUCUUUAUUUCCGGAAAAUCUGCAGGCUGACAAGAAAGGGCGCCCAACUACUGCCGGAAGCAAAAUAAAGAAACAAGCCAAUGACCUUGUGAGCACCCUGAUGAAAUGUACGCCCCACUACAUUCGCUGCAUCAAGCCAAA
rnacentral:sRNA from 1 species